UGCCAGGAUGCCGGAGGAGACCCAGACCCAGGACCAGCCCAUGAAGGAGGAGGAGGUGAGACCUUCGCCUUCCAGGCGGAGAUCACGCAGCUCAUGUCCCUGAUCAUCAACACCUUUUACUCAAACAAAGAAAUCUUCCUGCGGGAGUUGAUUUCCAACUCGUCCGAUGCUUUGGACAAAAAACGGUACGAAAGCCUGACAGACCCCAGUAAGCUCAACUCCGGCAAGGAGCUGCACAUCAACCUCAUUCCAAACAAGCAAGAUCGCACCCUCACCAUCGUGGACACUGGGAUUGGGAUGACCAAGGCCGACCUGAUCAAUAACCUCGGCACCAUAGCCAAGUCGGGCACCAAGGCCUUCAUGGAGGCUUUGCAGGCAGGUGCCGACAUCUCCAUGAUUGGCCAGUUCGGUGUGGGUUUCUACUCUGCUUACCUGGUUGCUGAGAAAGUGACUGUGAUCACCAACAUACUUCUGAGUCCCAUGCUCACUGCAGCCUUUAUUAGGUUUUACUGGAUGAGAAUAAAACAACCAGACAAACUCACUCCGGCAGUAUAA